GACAGAGGGUGCAAACGUUGUUCGGAAUUACUGGGCGUAAAGCGCGUGUAGGCAGUUUCGCAAGUCGGGUGUGAAAGCCCUGGGCUCAACCUAGGAAGUGCACUCGAAACUGCGAGACUUGAGUCCUGGAGAGGAAGGCGGAAUUCUCGGUGUAGAGGUGAAAUUCGUAGAUAUCGAGAGGAACACCGGUGGCGAAGGCGGCCUUCUGGACAGUGACUGACGCUGAGACGGCGAAAGCGUGGGGAGCAAACAGGG
rnacentral:rRNA from 1 species